UACGUAGGGUGCAAGCGUUGUCCGGAAUUAUUGGGCGUAAAGAGCUCGUAGGCGGUUUGUCGCGUCUGCUGUGAAAACCCGAGGCUCAACCUCGGGCCUGCAGUGGGUACGGGCAGACUAGAGUGCGGUAGGGGGAGAUUGGAAUUCCUGGUGUAGCGGUGGAAUGCGCAGAUAUCAGGAGGAACACCGGUGGCGAAGGCGGGUCUCUGGGCAACAACUGACGCUGAGGAGCGAAAGCGUGGGGAGCGAACAGG
rnacentral:rRNA from 1 species